UCAGAACGAACGCUGGCGGCGUGCUUAACACAUGCAAGUCGAACGCGAACGUCUUUUUCGGAAGACUAGUAGAGUGGCGCACGGGUGAGUAACGCGUAAGUAAUCUACCCUGGUAUCUGGGAUAACCCACCGAAAGGUGUGCUAAUACCGGAUACGCUGAUUUAUCAGGAAAGGUGGCCUCUUCAUGAAAGCUACUGUACCAGGAGGAGCUUGCGUACCAUUAGCUAGUUGGUAGGGUAAUGGCCUACCAAGGCGACGAUGGUUAGCGGGUCUGAGAGGAUGAUCCGCCACACUGGAACUGGAACACGGACCAGACUCUUACGGGAGGCAGCAGUGAGGAAUAUUGCGCAAUGGGGGAAACCCUGACGCAGCGACGCCGCGUGGAUGAUGAAGGCUUUCGGGUCGUAAAAUCCUGUCAGAUGGGAAGAAGUGCUAUAUAUUUAAUAUGUAUAUAGUUUGACGGUACCAUCAAAGGAAGCACCGGCUAACUCCGUGCCAGCAGCCGCGGUAAUACGGAGGGUGCAAGCGUUGUUCGGAAUUACUGGGCGUAAAGCGCGCGUAGGUGGUGUGUUAAGUCAGAUGUGAAAGUCCACGGCUCAACCGUGGAAGUGCAUUUGAAACUGGCAGACUUGAGUACUGGAGGGGGUAGUGGAAUUCCCGGUGUAGAGGUGAAAUUCGUAGAUAUCGGGAGGAAUACCGGUGGCGAAGGCGACUACCUGGCCAGAUACUGACACUGA
rnacentral:rRNA from 1 species